rnacentral:rRNA from 1 species
AGAACGAACGCUGGCGGCAUGCCUAAUACAUGCAAGUCGAACGAACUCUUCGGAGUUAGUGGCGGACGGGUGAGUAACACGUGGGAACGUGCCUUUAGGUUCGGAAUAACUCAGGGAAACUUGUGCUAAUACCGAAUGUGCCCUUCGGGGGAAAGAUUUAUCGCCUUUAGAGCGGCCCGCGUCUGAUUAGCUUGUUGGUGGGUAAUGGCCCACCAAGGCUACGAUCAGUAGCUGGUCUGAGAGGAUGACCAGCCACGUUGGGACUGAGACACGGCCCAAACUCCUACGGGAGGCAGCAGGUGGGGAAUCUUGCGCAAUGGGCGAAAGCCUGACGCAGCCAUCGCCGCGUGUAUGAUGGAAGGUCUUAAGGAUUAGUAAAAUACUUUCGACCGGUGAAGAUAAUGACUGUAGCGAGAAGAACGCCCGACUACUCGUGACCAGCAGCCGA